UGAGCUUCCCACCACAUAGAGUUUGAAUGAUCACUCCAAUCUCUUUGUGGGCAUUGAUUGGCUUGAUAUCCUUGCCUAUAAGACGCACCAAAUGUAGGGACACUUUGCAUUGUGGUCCUUUCGGCAUACUGUGACAAUUGAGAAGUAAGAUUUGCCAAUUGAGUUUGAAUGCUAGCAAAAUCCAUGUCUUACUUCUCUAGUACCUAAAAUCAAAUAAAGAAAACUAAAUCAAAUAUCAAAAGUAAAACAAAAGACAUGAAAAAAAAACAACG
rnacentral:lncRNA from 1 species